GGACCUACAACAUUGCGGCCAACCACAUCAGUGACAAUUGAGGGACCUACAACAUUGCGGCCAACCACAUCAGUGACAACUGAGGUAACUACAUCAACAGAAGUCUUAUCAACUUGCCAGUGGGUCUGUUGGGAAAAAACAACAGUGCCAACGUCCGCAUUAGUGACAACUGAGGAACCUACAACAGGGCUA